UUCAUUCUAUUUUGUUGAUUUUGUCAUCACAAUUUCUUAGAAAGUUGGGAUAUUGGUUAAUUUCUAGACUUGGAUUAUAACUUUUUAUUUGUAUUUCUGGAAAAUUGCAGAAAGCUUGCAUUAAGAUUUAGCUCUUCGAUCCAAAGGACCUUAGGAUUGAAGGCUGAAUUAUUGUAAGUUUGUCUUCCAUCACAGGUUUACCCAUAUUCUUCUGUCCAAUCAUUUCUUGACACUAUAUUAGUAAUCCCAAUUAUUAUAGGGAUUAACAGAUUAAGAUCUAUUUAGAUUCUAUAUAUACAUUUUAUAGAGUGAAUUAAGUUAGGUAUUCUGGAACUUAGGUAUUGUAUAUAUAUCAAACACAAGCUUUCAUAUGUUUCCAAUAUAAUCUUCCAUACAAUUUUUAAUCCCGCAGCAAUGCGCAGGCAUCGAUUUCUAAUUUUUCCUAAUUUCACAACGGUGAUGUUUUUCUAACUUGUCUUCUAUCAAGUCCUAUAAAAUUUAUAUUUUAAGAAAAUUGAUAACCACGCACUUUGUUUUUGCUUCCCUACACAACUUUGUUGUUUAAUCAUGUCUCUUGUCUUUGUUUCAUUUGUCAAAUCCAAUAGCUAAAAUACAGAAGAGUGUCGGAGAAACGGAAAAAUAGUGCGUGGCUGUCAUUUCUGAAAAUUAGAGAGAAACAUGUAACAGAUUCAGAGAGCAAUUCAUAUUUGACAAUAUAGAAGAAGGCUUCAAUAAUAAUUACAACAAACACUAGGGAGACCAUAACAAAAUUCCACACUGAAAGUUAAGCAUAAAAGGCCUGCUUGCCUAGCACAAGAGAGCUCAAACUAUUAACAAAAAUGGCAGAAGUGAAGCUCUUCAGGAUAUGGUCAAGCCCUUUUUUCUUUGAGAAUAGUUUGGGCGCUGCAACUCAAAGGCGUCCCUUAUGAAACAAUCCACGAAGAUAUUUCGAACAAAAGCCCUAAGCCCUUACUUCUUCAGUCUAACCCUAUUCGUAAAAAAGUUCCAGUGCUCCUGCACAAUGGAAACGCAGUUGUUGAAUCACUCAUAAUUCUUGAAUAUGUCGACGAAACUUGGAAGGAGAAUUCCUUACUGCCAGAAUAUCCUCUUGAGUGAGCCACUGCACGCUUUUGGGCUGGAUAUGGCGAUGAGAAGGUUUUGCCAUCUAUUGGGAAAACCUUUAUGAAGGGAAAGAGCAAGAGGAAGCUAUUGUAAAAGCCAAGGAGAACUUGAAGUACUUGGAAGAAGAGCUAAAGGGAAAGAAAUUCUUUGGCGGAGAGAAACUUGGAUUUGCGGAUAUUGCACUUGGAUGGCUCGCACACUAAGUGAGUGUGUUUGAAGACGUAGCAGAAAUGAAAAUGGUGACCGAAGAAGAGUUUCCAUUGUUAUCAGCAUGGGCGACAACUUUUGCAGAUGUUCCUAUAAUCAAAGAUAAUUGCCCGUCUAGAGACAAACUUAUUGCCAUGUUUCAGGCUAGCCGCGAAAGUCAUCUUUCAAAAAUGUACCAAGUUGAUUAAAUGAUCUGGUUUGUGAUCAUUUCAUGAAUUGGUUAAAUAAGUCCUGUCAAAGUUAAGAAUUACACAGAGAUGAUCAUGGAUUUUGGAAAAAUAAGUAAUGUCUGGUUAAAAUAUAACUGAAAGUGUUUGUUUUUGUUUUUACGUAGCUACACUUCAAAGUUGAAGCAAGUUCAUUCUUUCUUAGUUUGUGCUCAGUUAUGGCCAGAUUUCUGUUUCUUCCUUCAAUGCACGUUAACGAAAAAUGCAGAGACAUUAUUGUUUGUUGAGA